AUACGGAGGGUGCAAGCGUUAAUCGGAAUUACUGGGCGUAAAACGUACGUAGGCGGUUUAUUAAGUCAGAUGUGAAAGCCCCGGGCUUAACCUGGGAAUUGCAUUUGAAACUAGUAGACUAGAGUAUGGUAGAGGGGGGUAGAAUUCCUAGUGUAGCGGUGAAAUGCGUAGAUAUUAGGAGGAAUACCAGUGGCGAAGGCGGCCCCCUGGACCAAUACUGACGCUGAGGUACGAAAGCGUGGGGAGCGAACAGGAUUAGAAACCCUAGUAGUCC
rnacentral:rRNA from 1 species